rnacentral:rRNA from 1 species
CCUACGGGUGGCAGCAGUGAGGAAUAUUGGUCAAUGGACGAGAGUCUGAACCAGCCAAGUAGCGUGAAGGAUGACUGCCCUAUGGGUUGUAAACUUCUUUUAUAUGGGAAUAAAAUGUUCCACGUGUGGGAUUUUGUAUGUACCAUAUGAAUAAGGAUCGGCUAACUCCGUGCCAGCAGCCGCGGUAAUACGGAGGAUCCGAGCGUUAUCCGGAUUUAUUGGGUUUAAAGAGAGCGUAGGUGGAUUGUUAAGUCAGUUGUGAAAGUUUGCGGCUCAACCGUAAAAUUGCAGUUGAAACUGGCAGUCUUGAGUACAGUAGAGGUGGGCGGAAUUCGUGGUGUAGCGGUGAAAUGCUUAGAUAUCACGAAGAACUCCGAUUGCGAAGGCAGUUCACUGGACUGCAACUGACACUGAGGCUCGAAAGUGUGGGUAUCAAACAGGAUUAGAUACCCGAGUAGUC